AACGCGAAGAACCUUACCAGGGUUUGACAUGGGCAGGACCAUCGUAGAGAUACGACUUCCUUCGGGACCUGUUCACAGGUGCUGCAUGGCUGUCGUCAGCUCGUGCCGUGAGGUGUUGGGUUAAGUCCCGCAACGAGCGCAACCCUCGUCGUGUGUUGGUCCACAAGAUCUCUCACACGAGACCGCCGAUGAGAAGUCGGAGGAAGGUGGGGAUGACGUCAAGUCAGCAUGGCCCUUACGUCCCGGGCUACACACGUGCUACAAUGCGCCGAACAACGAGCUGCGAACCCGCGAGGGUAAGCCAAUCUCUUAAAUCGGCGCUCAGUUCGGAUUGAAGGCUGCAACUCGCCUUCAUGAAGUCGGAAUCGCUAGUAAACGCAGAUCAGCUACGCUGCGUUGAAUACGUUCCCGGGCCUUGUACACACCGGUACUA
rnacentral:rRNA from 1 species